UACGGGGGGGGCAAGCGUUGUUCGGAAUUACUGGGCGUAAAGGGCUCGUAGGCGGCCAACUAAGUCAGACGUGAAAUCCCUAGGCUCAACCUAGGAACUGCGUCUGAUACUGGAUGGCUUGAAUCCGGGAGAGGGAUGCAGCAUUCCAGGUGUAGCGGUGAAAUGCGUAGAUAUCUGGAGGAAUACCGGUGGCGAAGGCGGCAUCCUGGACCGGCAUUGACGCUGAGGAGCGAAAGCCAGGGGAGCAAACGGG
rnacentral:rRNA from 1 species